rnacentral:rRNA from 1 species
AUUGAACGCUGGCGGCAGGCCUAACACAUGCAAGUCGAGCGGAUGAAGGGAGCUUGCUCCUGGAUUCAGCGGCGGACGGGUGAGUAAUGCCUAGGAAUCUGCCUGGUAGUGGGGGAUAACGUCCGGAAACGGGCGCUAAUACCGCAUACGUCCUGAGGGAGAAAGUGGGGGAUCUUCGGACCUCACGCUAUCAGAUGAGCCUAGGUCGGAUUAGAUAGUUGGUGGGGUAAAGGCCUACUAAGGCGACGAUCCGUAACUGGUCUGAGAGGAUGAUCAGUCACACUGGAACUGAGACACGGUCCAGACUCCUACGGGAGGCAGCAGUGGGGAAUAUUGGACAAUGGGCGAAAGCCUGAUCCAGCCAUGCCGCGUGUGUGAAGAAGGUCUUCGGAUUGUAAAGCACUUUAAGUUGGGAGGAAGGGCAGUAAGUUAAUACCUUGCUGUUUCGACGUUACCAACAGAAUAAGCACCGGCUAACUUCGUG